rnacentral:tRNA from 1 species
GGGGUGGUGGCUCAGUGGUAGAGUGCUUUCCUAGCAUGUGUGAGGCACUGAGUUCCAUUCUCAGUACUGCA